AGCGAACGCUGGCGGCAGGCCUAACACAUGCAAGUCGAACGAAGUCUUCGGACUUAGUGGCGGACGGGUGAGUAACACGUGGGAACGUGCCUUUAGGUUCGGAAUAACUCAGGGAAACUUGUGCUAAUACCGAAUGUGCCCUUCGGGGGAAAGAUUUAUCGCCUUUAGAGCGGCCCGCGUCUGAUUAGCUGGUUGGUGAGGUAAAGGCUCACCAAGGCGACGAUCAGUAGCUGGUCUGAGAGGAUGAUCAGCCACAUUGGGACUGAGACACGGCCCAAACUCCUACGGGAGGCAGCAGUGGGGAAUCUUGCGCAAUGGGCGAAAGCCUGACGCAGCCAUACCGCGUGAAUGAUGAAGGUCUUAGGAUUGUAAAAUUCUUUCACCGGGGACGAUAAUGACGGUACCCGGAGAAGAAGCCCCGGCUAACUUCGUGCCAGCCGCCGCAGUAACAC
rnacentral:rRNA from 1 species